UCCAAGUGAAGUAGAGGACAGUGGCGGACGGGUGAGUAACACGUAAGCAACCUGCCUAUCAGAGGGGAACAACAGUUAGAAAUGACUGCUAAUACCGCAUAUACCCAAGUGUCACAUGGCACAAUGGGGAAAGGAGCAAUCCGCUGAUAGAUGGGCUUGCGUCUGAUUAGCUAGUUGGUGGGGUAACGGCCUACCAAGGCGACGAUCAGUAGCCGGACUGAGAGGUUGAACGGCCACAUUGGGACUGAGAUACGGCCCAGACUCC
rnacentral:rRNA from 1 species